AACGAACGCUGGCGGCAGGCUUAACACAUGCAAGUCGAACGCCCCGCAAGGGGAGUGGCAGACGGGUGAGUAACGCGUGGGAAUCUACCCAGAUCUUCGGAACAACUGAGGGGAACUUCAGCUAAUACCGGAUACGCCCUACGGGGGAAAGAUUUAUCGGAUCUGGAUGAGCCCGCGUUGGAUUAGCUAGUUGGUGGGGUAAUGGCCUACCAAGGCGACGAUCCAUAGCUGGUCUGAGAGGAUGAUCAGCCACACUGGGACUGAGACACGGCCCAGACUCCUACGGGAGGCAGCAGUGGGGAAUAUUGGACAAUGGGCGAAAGCCUGAUCCAGCCAUGCCGCGUGAGUGAUGAAGGCCUUAGGGUUGUAAAGCUCUUUCAGUAGGGAAGAUAAUGACGGUACCUACAGAAGAAGCCCCGGCUAACUUCGUGCCAGCCGCCGCGGUAAGAC
rnacentral:rRNA from 1 species